UAACGCGUGGGAAUCUGCCCUUAGGUACGGAAUAACUCAGGGAAACUUGAGCUAAUACCGUAUAAUGACUCCGGUCCAAAGAUUUAUCGCCUGAGGAUGAGCCCGCGUCGGAUUAGCUAGUUGGUGAGGUAAAGGCUCACCAAGGCGACGAUCCGUAGCUGGUCUGAGAGGAUGAUCAGCCACACUGGGACUGAGACACGGCCCAGACUCCUACGGGAGGCAGCAGUGGGGAAUAUUGGACAAUGGGCGAAAGCCUGAUCCAGCAAUGCCGCGUGAGUGAUGAAGGCCUUAGGGUUGU
rnacentral:rRNA from 1 species